rnacentral:tRNA from 1 species
UCCCUGGUGGUCCAAUGGUGAAGACGCCAUGCUUCCAACGUGGGGGUGUGCGGGUUCAAUCCCUGCUCGGGGAA